rnacentral:rRNA from 1 species
AAAUUUUAGUGAAGGAGUGGCGGACGGGUGAGUAACGCGUGGGUAACCUACCUCACACAGGGGGAUAACAGUUGGAAACGGCUGCUAAUACCGCAUAAGCGCACAGUACCGCAUGGUACAGUGUGAAAAACUCCGGUGGUAUGAGAUGGACCCGCGUCUGAUUAGCUAGUUGGCGGGGUAACGGCCCACCAAGGCGACGAUCAGUAGCCGACCUGAGAGGGUGACCGGCCACAUUGGGACUGAGACACGGCCCAGACUCCUACGGGAGGCAGCAGUGGGGAAUAUUGCACAAUGGAGGAAACUCUGAUGCAGCGACGCCGCGUGAGUGAAGAAGUAGUUCGAUAUGUAAAGCUCUAUCAGCUCGGAAGAU